rnacentral:lncRNA from 1 species
GCCAAGUAUAUUCAACUGUAGCUCUCUUUCUUGGAUUUUAGAAAGCAAAAUUGUGACAUCAUUUGGUGACUUCAUGAAAGUGCUUCCUCUUGUUCCCUCAAGAAAGGUACUCUGAAUGGUUGAUUCUGCUGGAUCUAUUUGCCUCUAUGUUUACAACUUCUUCACCACUCUUGAUAUAAAAAUGACUCUGGCAUGUCAGCAGCAAUGAGAUUAUUGAAUUCUAGUAGAGUCAUGUAGACAGGACUGAGGAGCCAGGCAAAAUGACUACUGGCCCAAGAAGGGACACAUUAAGCACCAGUAAAAAUAGGGUCUUUUGAGAAGGACAUAGAGCUGUGGGACUGAGGGACAAUACUCCAAGCAUCAUACAGAUUGGGACUCCCACAAAAAGAGAACACACAUGUUGGAGAAUGUAGGAUGUCAGAGUUUUAAGGGGAUGAGAGGUAUUUUACUGAAGAUAUCAUCAAGAGGCUACAAAACAAGAAAAAUCUACGGACACAUGCUCCCUUACUCCAGCAGAGAAGAAUUUCUGUGUGAGUUCUGGCUAUGCUGUAGAAGGAACACUGGCUUAUCCCCUUUCCCCAGGAAAGCAUAAACCAAGACUGUCACCAGAACCAGAUUCAUGCUAUUCUGCAAAAGAACCAUAGUUAAGAAACCC